rnacentral:rRNA from 1 species
UACGGAGGAUCCGAGCGUUAUCCGGAUUUAUUGGGUUUAAAGGGAGCGUAGGUGGAUUGUUAAGUCAGUUGUGAAAGUUUGCGGCUCAACCGUAAAAUUGCAGUUGAAACUGGCAGUCUUGAGUACAGUAGAGGUGGGCGGAAUUCGUGGUGUAGCGGUGAAAUGCUUAGAUAUCACGAAGAACUCCGAUUGCGAAGGCAGCCCACUGGACUGCAACUGACACUGAGGCUCGAAAGUGUGGGUAUCAAACAGG